rnacentral:lncRNA from 1 species
CACCUAGAACUGGCAUCACAACUCAUGAACUGUCAAAGAUUACUACAAAUAAGGGUCUGAAUGAAAAGUUUACAUCUGUCUUGGUAGUAGAUAAAAAGGAAAUAAAAUGAAAUAGAAAGGGGCGUCAGGGCCUACGGACUCCUGCAGGACUACCUUGGGUCUCCAGUGUGCAAUGAUAGCAACCAACCUCGCGAUCAGCCACUAGCUCCAAAAUCUGCACAGAAAGUGCAAAGUGCAGUAUCAGUAUACCCGACCCCAUGUACUGGUAAGUGCCGAGCCUAACCUCGAUGAAGUAGUGAUGAUGCUAUGACGGGGCAUACAACAUAUACAAGCUGCAACAGUUUAUGAUAAACAAAAAGGAAAUACGAAGUGUAUAAAGCAAUAACUGGCAUUAGGUAAAUCCGGAAUCCAACUAUUCCACUAAUGUUUUAGCUAUAACUAAUCCUUAAGGGUGUUCCAGCAUCACAAUAACAGACCUCAACAGAUAUGAACACAUAACAACAACUGAAGCGGGGCGCAUCCUAAUCCCAUCAUAUAAACAACAACCAAAUCAAUAUUCACUUUUAUUCCUCCUUGUUGCGGCGUGUAACCCGAUCCCACUUGUCCACCCUUAUUACUCAUCAACACAUAUCACCCUUAUUCCUCCUGUUAUGGCGUGCAACUCAUUCCCACCUGUCCUCCCUUAUUACUCUUUGUUGCGGCGUGCAACCCGAUCCCAUCAUAUAAUACUAUUGCGGUGUCAAGAAAAAGUUGAAUUUCUUGAUUCCAUUCUUUACUGCAAGAAUUUCCUUGAAAGUGAAGUGAUAAUGCUGCUCGGUAUCUUUUAACUUUCCGCUGGCAUAUCCGCAUAUGUUUCUCUGGCCAUCUUUUUCUGCAAAUAGAAUGGCACUCCAAUAUUUAUUGUUGGCAUCAGUUUGUAGUAUCUUCUUACCAUCUGAAGGGAUGUAGAGGGACUUGACAUUUUUAGAUAUAUCUUUUAUUUCUCUGACUGCUUCAUCCUGUUUCUCUCCCCAUGAUGGAGCAUUUUUCUUGAGAUUUUCUGCGAGUGGUGAAAUGCAUGUAGAGAUAUUUGGGAUGAAAUCUCUUACAUAAUUUAUUACACCCAAGAAUUGUUGGAUCCGCUUUGUUGUAAGGAUGGUAUCCAAAAAUUUGAGUAAUUUCGAACAUAUAUGUGGUCCUGGACUGUAUUCACCUUGGACAAAAUGCAUUCCGAGAAAAUAGAACUCCUUUUGAGCAAGAACCAUCUUUUUUGCUGAAAGCAUGAUCCCGUACUGUGUUAUCAAUGCCUCAAUUGACGAAGCAAGUUGACAUGUUCUUCCAAUAUAUCACUAAAUAACAGGAUGUCAUCAAUGUAAACUAAGGAGGUAUGGAGGAUGAGUUGGAAUAUUUAUCAUGGCUUUUUGGAAUAAAGAGGGUGCAGUUUUUAAUCCGAAUGGCAUGACUUUCCAUUGGAAGUGAUGAUCGGGGAUGCAAAAUUUCAUUUUGGGUCUUUCUUUAAGGUAGAUUCCAAAUUGCCAAAAUCCAGAUUUUAGAUCAAAUUUGGAAAAAUAUUUGGCCUUGGCUUAGCAGGAGAAAAGAGUGAGUUUCUUUGGGAUUAAGAAUUUAUCAUCUUGGAGGAAGUGGUUAAGUGGCUGGUAGUUAAUAACUAACUUGAGUUUUCCACUUGUCUUCUCAGCUCUUUUGUUGACAUAAAAUGCUUCACAUGCCCAUUGUCACACCUCCUUUUUACUGCACCAAAAGUUCUGGGUUAUGGUCCUCAGCAGAGUUGUCAGAGCUGUCACACAUCCUUUUGACCACCCGAGGGGGAUAUAAGGGAGUUUUUCAAUUAAAGUGACAUUAAUCGAAAUAGAAUUAUUUUAUUUAAUUUAUCAGAAUCGCUACUUGGGAUAAUUAUUUGGUGUCCCAAUUAACCGAUUUAUUUUAAAAUCCCAAAUCGAGGAAAUUUAAUUAUUUUUAAAAAGUCUGUGAACCAGAAAUUCUAAGUAAGGAAUUCUGUUAACCCGGGAGAAGGUGUUAAGCAUUCUCGAGCUUCGUGGUUCUAGCACGGUCGCUUAAACUAUUAAUAUUGGUCUAUUAUCUGAUUUACUACAUGUUUUAAACAUAUUGUGCAUUUUUAAUUUUAUAGCCUCUUUUAAUUACUUUAAACUGCUUUUAGAAUUUAUGGAAUUAUUUUUUGAACAAGUUACGAUUGUCGUACACUUGCCGUUUUGGAACACACCACAAAUCACGCUACAUGAAAUGCACCCACGAUUCGCGAUACGUUUAUUUUUAUUAAUAUUCAAAGUUUUUAUGAUCGGGUUACAUGAAAUGCACCCCCGAAUUUUGGAACUAGGCAUCGUAACUAUGUCACGACAACCGUACCCAUAGUCACGAUGAUUUAUUAAUCGCGCCUAAAGCAACUAGCGCGUGUAAAAAAGGGUGUUUUUCUAUACUAAGUUUAUAUUAAUGUGAGGGCCAUACCUUAUAGAUUUUUAUUUGUGUAUGGCACACCUAAAAUUAUUUUAAGAAAAAGUUUAUAUAUUUUUCUUCUAAGGCAAACUAAAGAUGCUCCUACUUUAAUCUAAUUUGGCAUCACAUGUCACGGGAAUCGUACCCGUAGUUGUAAUAAUUUACAAAAAAAAAAGAAGAAGCCAAGUUCGCAAGAUUUCUCUCCAAAAAUUUCAACUACUUCCUACUUUCCAUUUUAGUGCAUCCCAGAUUGUUAACCACUUUCUUAACUAUAGCAAGUUUUAAUUCCUCCACUAUUCAAACUAAUAUAAAAUAAUACCCUUUACAUUGGAUCAACUUUGAGCUGACACCUCUAUACCUUUAUGCUCCUUGAUAAUCAACCAAGGUAAAAAUCAAAAUGAGACAAAUUUGACUCGAAUCUUUUCCUUUGGUUUGUUCCUUUAGCUUCACAGACCCCGACAUCGAUUAUAGAAGCAGGGGUUCCUUUCUUCUAAGAGUAGAAGCAAAAUGAAAGCUCCACUGUUUUCUUUUUCUUUUCACUUCAUUUGUUUUAUUUGUUGGAGGAUUUUGUUGAAAGUGUAUUAUAACAUAAAGAAAUACAGAUGAUUUAACGGAGCAAGUGAAACAUCUAUUUUCAAAUGAAUCUGACGAACAUGACCUUGUGGUUCGCCAUUUUAUUGAUAUUCUGUAAAUUGUGGAUUAAACAAAAACAAACACAAAUAUGCCUAUGUAUAUUUUGCUAGUAAUUUGCUUAGUAAGUGCACAGAGAUUCGAUUCAAGCUACUGAGAUCAGAAACAAGGCUAUAGCAGUAUAAUUAAUUAAUCCUCAUGUCAGUAUAAAAUGAUUUCCACAACCGGCAACUUCUACAAUAACGUAGGAGGGAGCUGAUUGACUCAAUGGCUUCAGUGAUGUUUAAAAUCUUUCAUUCAGGACCUUCAACUCAAGCAGAUCUAGAUGAAAUUCGAACCACCAUCAUAGAUUCAUAAAUAAAAAAAUAGACUUUCCUAACUUAUUCAAAUCCAUCAAGAGCCUAUUCCAACAACUCAAAAUCUUAGUGGAGAACAAUACAUUCAGCAUUAAACAUCGAUUAAGAAUAAUAAAAAAAAAGCAACAGAACUUGAAACUUAGGAAAACAUCUCUUAAUCAGUAUGAGUCUUAACAGGUAUACAAUAAAGUUUAAUCCAUAAUUCAGAAUAAGAUAAUAAGUUAGGAUUUACAUACCUAAAGCAAAGAAAUAGAAGGCAAUGACCAAAUAAAGGUCAAGUUUGAGGGCAAAUGAAGCUUGAUUAAAUAGGAGCAGCCAAGCAGUAAUCAGCAGCCUCACGAGUUCAAAUCCAGCAGCUUCUAAACCCGAAAAAUUGUUCCCCAACUCUUUCCUUUAGAUCCUUUUCUAAGUUUUUUUUUGUCUCCCUUUUUGUGUGUGCUUGUGUAUGUACAUGAACGGGAAAGGUGAGAAGAGAAGAGUGUGGGGGGAAGCUGUGACUGAAGAGGGGGCAGAGGAAUGACGCCGACCUCUUGAAAAGGCGGGGGGGGGGGGGGAAUCUAAUGAGGGGUGCGUCGUUUGCUUCUGCUUGGGAUGGUUUUCUAAGGGGUCCGAUUUUUUGUCUUAGAUCUAGCCUCUCAUGUUAGGUCUAGGUCCCUUUUAAUAUAUCUAGGUUUUUAAUUAAGGGGUAGUGGGUUUGGGGCUAAUGGGUUUAAGCAUUUGGGCCACCUCUUUUGGCCCAAUUCCAUACAACCAAAUUCUUCCUUUUCCUUCUUUAUUAAGUUUUUGCAAACUCUAGCCAUUUAAAACUCAAACCUUAAUUAAAUCUAAUUUUAUAUGGCUAGCCUAUUUAUUUAUUUUGCCUAAUGAUGGAUUAAUGCAACUAAUUAAUUAAUUAACAUAAGAAUGCAUUUUUUUUAUUUUUAGUUAUUUAAAAGAUGCAUAUGGCAAUAUAAUUAAGUUCUAAAUGCAAAUUAAACCUAAGAUAGCUUGAAAUUAUAACGUGACAAUUUUUUGUGAUUUUUCUAUGAUUUUAAAAUAUUGAAAAUGCAUGAAAUGCAAUUAAAUAAAAAAACUUCUAAAAUCCCUUAAAAAUUAUUUUUGGUUUAUUUUUAGGAAUUAUUUUCAUGUAAGGCAAAAAUUAGGUGCUCACAGCUGUCCCUCUUUGCUCGGAAACAUGAAGAGUUUUCGAAAAAAGAUAAAGUGAGCAAUUACGAGCAAUUUUUGCCUGUUUAAAACUCUAUUUUGGAAGAAUUUUGAAAAAGUUUGACCGAACCUUGCUUCGGAGGUUGCCUACAUAUCCUUGGCUAUAAAGGAAUCAGGUCGGUGUAGUUCUGGAAAUUUUAGUAGCUGGGACUACCGAGACUGUGAUUUCACUGCUGUUGCUGUCGUUUCUGCUUGUUGAUCUCCUUAUUACACCGAAAUAAAAAAUAAAAAGCUAAACUAGCUAAGUCUAUCAAGUAUGAGUUACAAGAUUCUUGUCUAUAAAUCUUCUGAAGCUCGAUCUUGAGUCUUGACUGGAUGCGGACUCUGAUCUGAAUCUUGAUGCUCAUUAGCUGCGAAUGCUGGUUCAUUUUUCUUCAGCUCUUCGGAUCAAGGCGGGACAUGCAAAGCUUGUGACUUCAAUCACAUCUUGGGCAGUCCGCAUCUUUUCUUCGCUUCUGCACUUAGAGCUUAACUUCUUUUCUUUUCUUUCUUUUUUUUUCUUUUAUUCUAGAUUGGGAAUUCUUAUUUUGUUUAUCUCAAACCUUGUUCCUCACGGUGAAAACCUAUUUAGGCACCAAAGAAAACAAACGAAUGAAAUUUUUCUACCCCAGUUUUCGCUAGGAAAAUUUCGUGAUUAAUUGUAACAAAAUCUAAACUGUUUUUUAUUGAAAACAAUAAAAUCAGUAUUGUGUAUCCUUGGGAAAAGAUAUUAGGUAGUGGAGCCCUAUAUCUAUAUUAAAAUCAACCAGGGAAUGAAGACCCUAUGUUGGAAAAACGACUAGGGAGUAGAGACCCUAUGCCUAAAUAACUUCAACUAAGGAGUGGAGACCCUAUGUUGGAAAAGCGACUAGGGAGUAGAGACCCUAUGUCUACAAUAAAAUCAACUAGGGAGUGGAGACCUUAUGUUAAAAAAGCGACUUGGGAGUGGAGACCCUAUGUCUAAGAUAAAAUCAACUAGGGGGUGGAGAUCCUAUGUUGGAAAGGCGACUAGGGAGUGGAGACCCUAUGUUUAAAAAUAAACUCAACUACGGAGUGGAGACCCUAUGUCUAAAAAUAAACUCAACUAGGGAGUGGAGACCCUAUGUUGGAAAUACGACUAGGGAAUGGAGACCCUAUGUCUAAAAUAAAGUCAACUAGGGAGUGAAGACCCUAUGUUGGAAAGGCGACUAGGGAGUGGAGACCAUAUGUCUAAAAUAAACUCAACUAGGGAGUGUAGACCCUAUGUUAGAAAAGCGACUAGGGAGUGGAGACCCUAUGUUGGGAAAGCGACUAGGGAGUGGAGACCCUAUGUCUAAAAUAAAAUCAACUAGGGAGUGGAUAGCUUAUGNNNNNNNNNNNNNNNNNNNNNNNNNNNNNNNNNNNNNNNNNNNNNNNNNNNNNNNNNNNNNNNNNNUAAAAGUCUACUAGGGAGUGGAGACCCUAUGUUGGAAAGGCGACUAGGGAGUGGAGACCUUAUAUCUAAAAAUAAACUCAACUAGGGAGUGGAGACCCUAUGUUGGAAACACGACUAGGAAGUGGAGACCCUAUGUCUAAAAUAACUUCAAGUAGGGAGUGAAGACCCUAUGCGUAAAAUAAAAUCAACUAGGGAGUGGAGACCCUAUGUUGGAAAAACGUAACUAGAGAUUGGGGACCCUAGGCUACCAUGAUUUUGAAUUUUUCUUCUUUCUUCUUCUUUUUGUUUUAAGAAAAUGAAUAAAAAUGCAGGAAAGAAUUCGGAGGAGACUUCCCUUUUGGAUUGAUUAUUGCUUCAAAGCUGUUUCUAGACCUUGCACAGUUUCUCUUUGGUUGCACCUGCUUCUUGCAAGGUUGCUUUGGAUUGUACCUGUUUCAUGUUUUCAAACAACGAACAAUUGUUAGUUUGAAAUGGUGGUUGGUUUUGUGGCCUUGAUUGUUUCAAUCACUUGAUCUUGGCCCGGCUUCUUUGAUGAAGAUCUCAAUUGCAACUGCUCGUUUCUUGAGGACCGAUUUCAUUUCAGGCCCUGAGAACCUCUGAUUUUUUCCAGAUUUUGCCAUGACAGUUGGUCGGUGGAACUCAACCUUUUUGACUUUAUUCUGCCUUCGUAGGCCUUUCACUUCCGGCUUCUUUCUUCCAACAUCAAUUUCAGAGCAUUUGGGGUACCUUGGCUUUUUCAAAUCUUUGCUGAGACGAUUAGCCACGUGGAACUCAACCUUUUCAACUUCUAAGAGUUUUUAAUUUCAAAACAUCAGCCAUCAUGGCCGGUCGAAGUCGACUUGAUGCCCUUGCGAAGGCUGGGUGUCUUCUUGUAUAUUAGCUCAUGUCAAAUGAGAACCCUGUAAAUCAGUCUUCUCAUCCCUUCUUUGUCUCAGUUGCGGAAUAGAGUUAGACCGAAAGGAAUUCAAAGAAAAAUAAAUAAUGGACAGGAUGAUGAAUUUAAAACAAGUAGUGUCCCUUUCGAGGAAAGGAAGAAGGACUUAUCUGGGGUACAUGCGGACUUCAAUGAACAUGACAUGCCUUUUGGACUGGAUGCAUGAUCUGUGUAAACCGUCCGACUCUGAGAAAUUCAUCACAACUUUUGCCUCAAAAUCGAGAAACCUUGCCAGGACUCUUUCAGUGUCAAUGGUUGUAAGGUAUUCCUUCUUUUCGAUCAACGGCGCCCUUUGCGGGUUUUCGCCAAUUAACCUCUCUCAUUUCUCUUCUCACCGUCGCCUUAUAGUGCUCUUUACGAGUUUUCACAAACAAGACUCUCUCAUCUUCAAUUUCUCUGCUCACUAUCGCCUUACGGUGCCCGUGUGAGUUUUCACCAAUAAAACUCUCUCAUUUUAUUUCUCUCAUCUUGAUUGUAUUAGAUCUAAAUAGUUACGUUCUCCGAUUCUUAAACAUUCUCAUUGAUUGAUCGGAAGGACUUGAACAGGGUUCAGAGUAAAAGGAAUUUGGAUCAAAUUACAACUUUGGAAUCUUUUGGCGAACCGUCACUGAAUCAUUAUAACAUCUGUUCCACUUUCACUUUGGGGGGAAAUUGAAUUUUUGUUUUGGUGUGACUGAACCCCAGAGAGAAGUUGUCUACGUAUCCUUUCGGAAUCAAGUCGAACAUAGUUCAGGAAACUUUCUUUUUGAUUUUCUUUUGUUUUCUGUUUUGUUUUGUUUUCCCUUUCUUUUUCCUCUUUUUUUUUCAUUUCAUUGUCUUUUCUUCCCCCUCUUUUUUGUAUCUUUCUUUUCUUCUCUUUUUCUUUUUGCCCUUUUCUUCCUUUUUUGUAAUUUUUCUUUUUUUCUCUUUUCAUUUUUUUUCAUUUCAUUUUUUAUUUUUUAUUCAAUAACACUUUCAAGUUUCAAAGAGGGUAAUCAAAGAAAAGUAACCAGCUCAAAGGGUUUUCAAAGGAUUGAUAGUGUUUGGGUAACGAAAAUAAAAGCCUUCUUCAUCUCAACCGGAGAACAUUAUUGUUAUAUAGAAGAUCCAACAUAGUACCUUUUGACUGCACCUGGGUUGAGAGUUGUUUCAGGAUCUUUUCCUUCGACAUUUCCCAGGUACGACGCUCUCUUUGUAGUACCUUUGUUACCAUGUAGGAAUCUUUCCAAUUUGGAGCCAAUUUUCCUUUAACUGUUCCAACUCUUUGUUUUAUUUCCUAAAACUUAUCUUCAUUGCAAUCUAAUUCUUGAUUCAUUAUUUCAAUUUCUGACAACAUUUUAGGAUCCGAGCAUGAAGUCCGCAAGCAUGUCAUGUUAUUGAAAUCUGCAUUUGACAGAACAAAAAAGAGAAUAAGAAAAAUGACAAGAUUAAGAAAAGAGACAUUCCUGGACAAUGAAAUAUUAAUUUCAUUUGAUAUUUUUUAUUUUUCGUUUUUUUGUAUUAUUUUUUUCAAUUUUUUGAAGAUAGAAGGGUUUACAUCAGAAAGUAAGACAAUAAAUUAAAAUAUUCGUACCACACUCUAAGAUAAUCCGGACGCAGAAAGGAUAGCAAGACUGGAUACCGAUACUCCCCUCUGAUGGGGAACUUUCAUGCUUGGCGACCAUAUUUUGGCUUUUCUUCUAUCUCGGCAAUGGCUGCAAUGGCCUUCAGUGCCAGAUCAAGUUCCUCAUCUUCACAAAUCAUUCCGACUAUGCAAACCGAAACAAACAGAUGCGAAAGUAGCACGUAAGAUGCAUCAGGAUGGUCUUUUUAAUUUGGGUACACCUAUCCUAGACGGACUCAACCCCUAUGUUGAGUCCCCAAUGUCAAUUGCAUGUGAUGCAAAUAAGCGUUCCUACUAGGGAUCCGGCAUAAGGCUAUGUUAUUCUAGGUUUAAAAACCUGGUGUAUUUGUUCUAGACCUGGCUUACCCGAGCAGACAGCUCGAGCCGAUGGGGGGCAGCAUACUGGUAAUACAGAAGUUUCACCGGCUUUGCACCUUGUCCGAACCUCGUUCUAAAAUUGGGAUAUGACUCUAACAGAAAAUAAGUUACAUGAAGUGUACACUUCCCAGAUGAUUUAGAAGACUCAGAGAGAAGAGGAUUUCGUAACAGUUUAUAUACAAUUCAAACAAUAUCAAAGCGGUAAAAAGCGGCAUUUAGUACAUUAGGCCCAAACAUAUAAAAAUCAGAUAAUAAAUAAAGCCAAGUAUAACAGUCAUUCUAAGUUCGAAUUCUUGAACCCUAAACCAAAUGUUCUGGGUUAUGGUCCUCAGCAGAGUCGCCAGAGCUGUCACACUUCCUUUUGACCACCCGAGGGGGAUAUAAGGGAGUUUUUCUAAUUAAAGUGACAUUAAUCAAAAUGGUAUUAUUUUAUUAAAUUUAUCAGAUUCGCCACUUGGGAUAAUUAUUUGGUGUCCCAAGUCAUCGGUUUAUUUUGAAAUCCCAAAUCGAGGAAAUUUUGACUUUAUUUUUAAAAAGUCUGCGAACCAGAAAUUCUAAGUAAGGAAUUCUGUUAACCCGGGAGAAGGUGUUAAGCAUUUUCGGGUUCCGUGAUUCUAGCACGGUCGCUUAAACUAUUAAUAUUGCCCUAUUAUCUAAUUUGCUACAUAUUUUAAACAUAAUAUGCAUUUUUAAUUUUAUAGCCGCUUUUAAUUACUUUAAACUGCUUUUAGGAUUUAUGGAAUUGUUUCUUAAACAAGUUACGAUUGUCGUACACUUGCCGUUUUGGAACAUACCACAAAUUACGCUACAUGAAAUGUACCUGCGAUUCGCGAUACGUUUAUUUUUAUUAAUAUUUAAAGUUGUUAUGAUCGGGUUACAUGAAAUGCACCCCCGAAUUUUGGAACUAGGCAUCGUAACUAUGUCACGGGAACCGUACCCAUAGUCACGAUGGUAUAUUAAUCGCGCCUAAAGCAACUAGCGCGUGUAAAAAAAGGUUGUUUUUCUAUACUAAGUUAAUAUUAAUGCGAGGGCCAUAGCUUAUGGAUUUUAUUUGUGUAUGGUACACCUCAAAUUAUUUUAAGAAAAGGUUUAUAUAUUUUUUCUUCUAAGGAAAACUAAAGAUGCUCCUACUUUAAUCUAAUUUUGCAUCACAACCAUGUCACGGAACCGUACCCGUAGUUGUAAUAAUUUACAAAAAAAAAUGCCAAGUUCGCAAGGUUUCUCUCCAAAAAUUUCAACUACUGCCUACUUUCCAUUUUAGUGCAUUUCAAACUGUUAACCACUGUCGUAAAUAUAGCAAGUUUUUAUUCCUCCAAUAUUCAAACUAAUAUAAAAUAGUACUCUUUCCAUUGGAUCAACUUUGAGUUGACACCUCUAUACCUUUAUGCUCCUUGAUAAUCAACCAAAGUAAAAAUCGAAAUGAGAUAAAUUUGACUCAAAUCUUUUCCUUUGGUUUGUUCCUUUGGAUUCACAGACCCCGACAUCAGAUAUAGAAGCAGAGGUUCCUUUCUUCUAAGAGUAGAAACAAAAUGAAAGCUCCACUGCUCUCUUUUUCUUUUCACUUCAUUUGUUUUAUUUGUUGGAGGAUUUUGUUGAAAGUGUAUUAUAACAUAAAGAAAUACAGAUGAUUUAGUGGAGCAAGUGAAGCAUCUAUUUUCAAAUGAAUCUGACGGACACGACCAUGUGGUUCGCCAUUUUAUUGAUAUUCUGAAAUUGUGGAUUACACAAAAAAAACACAAACAUGCAUAUGUAUAUUUUGCUAGUAAUUUGCUUAGUAAGUUCACAGAGAUUCAAUUCAAGCUACUGAGAUCAGAAACAAGGUUAUAGCAGUGUAAUUAAUUACUCCUCAUGUCAUUAUAAAAUGAUUUCCACAACCGGCAACUUCUACAAUAACGUAGGAGGGAGCUGAUUGACUCAAUGACUUCAGUGAUGUUUAAAAUCUUUCAUUCAGGACCUUCAACACAAGUAGAUCUAGAUUAAAUUCGAACCACCAUCAUAGAUUCAUAAAUAAAAAAAAAUUAGACUUUCCUAAAUUAUUCAAAUCCAUCAAGACCCUAUUCAAACAACUCAAAAUCUUAGUGGAGAACAAUAUAUUCAGCAUUAAACAUCGAUUAAGAAUAAGAGAAAAAGCAACAGAACUUGAAGCUUAGGAAAACAUCUCUUAAUCAGUAUGAGACUUAGCAGGUAUACAACAAAGUUUCAUCCAUAAUUCAGAAUAAGAGAAUAAGUUAGGAUUUACAUACCUAAAGCAAAGAAAUAUAAGGCAAUGACCAAAUAAAGGUUAAGUUUGAGGGCAAAUGGAGCUUGAUUAAAUAGGAGCAACCAAGCAGUAAUCAGCAGCCUCAUGAGUUCAAAUCCAGCAGCUUCUAAACCCGGAAAAUUGUUCCCCAACUCUUGCCUUUAGAUCCUUUUCUAAGUUUUUUUUCCGUCUCCCUUUUUGUGUGUGCUUGUGUAUGUUCAUGAAUGGGAAAGGUGAGAAGAGGAGAGUGGGGGGGGG